AUACUUACCUGGCGCGGGGAUACCGUGAUCAGAGGCGGUGCCUCGGACGAGGGCUGUACAUUGCUCGUAUGGGCUGACUCUGCGACUACCAAAUCGGGGUGGCUCGAGCGCAUAAUUUUUGGUAGUGGGGAAGCGUUCGCGCUGUCCUUU
rnacentral:snRNA from 1 species